ensembl:processed_transcript
UUUAAGGUUUGCAGGGCAUUUUUUCGUCAAAUCCUCGUACAACGUCAAGAUAAAACAAGGCGUACGCGUUGGUCAAUCGAGCGGACAAAGCCAACUCAGCGUGACAAGCUCCCUGCAGGUAUUAGGGCCAAUUUACAAUCCGGGCCCCACACCGCUGUACAGGUCCUUGCGAAAUGUCC